UGCCAGCAGCCGCGGUAAUACAGAGGUGGCAAACGUUGUUCGGAUUUACUGGGCGUAAAGGGUGCGUAGGUGGACUCGUGUGUUGGGUGUGAAAGCCCGUGGCUUAACUGCGGAAUUGCACUCGAAACUGCGAGUCUAGAGACCAAAAGGGGAGAGCGGAAUUCUUGGUGUAGCGGUGAAAUGCGUAGAUAUCUGGAGGAACACCGGUGGCGAAAGCGGCUUACUGGGCCAUAUCUGACGCUGAGGUGCGAAAGCCAGGGUAGCAAACGGGAUUAGAUA
rnacentral:rRNA from 1 species